UACAGAGGGUGCAAACGUUGCUCGGAAUUAUUGGGCGUAAAGCGCGUGUAGGCGGCUUGUUAAGUCGGUUGUGAAAACCCAUGGCUCAACCAUGGAAGUGCGUCCGAAACUGGCAAGCUAGAGUCUUGACGAGGAUGGCGGAAUUCCCAGUGUAGAGGUGAAAUUCGUAGAUAUUGGGAGGAACACCGGUGGCGAAGGCGGCCAUCUGGGAAGGUACUGACGCUGAGACGCGAAAGCGUGGGUAGCAAACAGG
rnacentral:rRNA from 1 species